rnacentral:rRNA from 1 species
UUGGUUAAGUCCGCAACGAGCGCAACCCUACUUGUUAGUUGCCAUCAUUCAGUUGGGCACUCUAGCGAGACUGCCGGUAAUAAACCGGAGGAAGGUGGGGAUGACGUCAAAUCAUCAUGCCCCUUAUGACCUGGGCUACACACGUGCUACAAUGGUUGGUACAACGAGUUGCGAGUCGGUGACGGCGAGCUAAUCUCUUAAAGCCAAUCUCAGUUCGGAUUGUAGGCUGCAACUCGCCUACAUGAAGUCGGAAUCGCUAGUAAUCGCGGAUCAGCACGCCGCGGUGAAUACGUUCCCGGGCCUU